UACGAAGGGGGCUAGCGUUGCUCGGAAUUACUGGGCGUAAAGCGCACGUAGGCGGCUUUCUAAGUCGGGGGUGAAAUCCUGGAGCUCAACUCCAGAACUGCCUUCGAUACUGGAGAGCUCGAGUCCGGGAGAGGUGAGUGGAACUGCGAGUGUAGAGGUGAAAUUCGUAGAUAUUCGCAAGAAUACCAGUGGCGAAGGCGGCUCACUGGCCCGGUACUGACGCUGAGGUGCGAAAGCGUGGGGAGCAAACAGG
rnacentral:rRNA from 1 species